GUGUGGGGGGACAUUCCACGUUUUCCGCGCCGUAGCUAACGCAUUAAGUGCCCCGCCUGGGGAGUACGGCCGCAAGGCUAAAACUCAAAGGAAUUGACGGGGGCCCGCACAAGCGGCGGAGCAUGCGGAUUAAUUCGAUGCAACGCGAAGAACCUUACCAAGGCUUGACAUGAACCGGACCGCUGCAGAAAUGUGGUUUCCCCUUUGGGGCUGGUUUACAGGUGGUGCAUGGUUGUCGUCAGCUCGUGUCGUGAGAUGUUGGGUUAAGUCCCGCAACGAGCGCAACCCUCGUUCUAUGUUGCCAGCACGUGAUGGUGGGGACUCAUAGGAGACUGCCGGGGUCAACUCGGA
rnacentral:rRNA from 1 species